rnacentral:rRNA from 1 species
UACGGAGGGAGCUAGCGUUGUUCGGAAUUACUGGGCGUAAAGCGCACGUAGGCGGCUUUGUAAGUUAGAGGUGAAAGCCCGGAGCUCAACUCCGGAACUGCCUUUAAGACUGCAUCGCUUGAAUCCAGGAGAGGUGAGUGGAAUUCCGAGUGUAGAGGUGAAAUUCGUAGAUAUUAGGAAGAACACCAGUGGCGAAGGCGGCUCACUGGCCCGAUACUGACGCUGAGGCACGAAAGCGUGGGGAGCAAACAGG